rnacentral:rRNA from 1 species
AUUGAACGCUGGCGGCAGGCCUAACACAUGCAAGUCGAGCGGAUGAAGGGAGCUUGCUCCUGGCUUCAGCGGCGGACGGGUGAGUAAUGCCUAGGAAUCUGCCUGGUAGUGGGGGAUAACGUCCGGAAACGGGCGCUAAUACCGCAUACGUCCUGAGGGAGAAAGUGGGGGAUCUUCGGACCUCACGCUAUCAGAUGAGCCUAGGUCGGAUUAGCUAGUUGGUGGGGUAAAGGCCUACCACGGCGACGAUCCGUAACUGAUCUGAGAGGAUGAUCAGUCACACUGGAACUGAGACACGGUCCAGACUACUACGGGAGGCAGCAGUGGGGAAUAUUAGACAAUGGGCGAAAGCCUGAUCCGGCCAUGCCGCGUGUGUGAAGAAGGUCUUCGGAUUGUAAAGCACUUUAAGUUGGGAGGAAGGGCAGUAAGUUAAUACCUUGCUGUUUUGACGUUACCAACAGAAUAAGCACCGGCUAACUUCGUG